rnacentral:tRNA from 1 species
GCGGGGUGGAGCAGCUCGGUAGCUCGCUGGGCUCAUAACCCAGAGGUCGUAGGCCUAGUGGGGCUGGCUCGGAAGGUGCUUCCUCUGUCG